GAGGAAAAGGAACCAACCGGGAUUGCCUUAGUAACGGCGAGUGAAGCGGCAAAAGCUCAAAUUUGAAAUCUGGUACCUUCGGUGCCCGAGUUGUAAUUUGGAGAGGGCAACUUUGGGGCCGUUCCUUGUCUAUGUUCCUUGGAACAGGACGUCAUAGAGGGUGAGAAUCCCGUGUGGCGAGGAGUGCGGUUCUUUGUAAAGUGCCUUCGAAGAGUCGAGUUGUUUGGGAAUGCAGCUCUAAGUGGGUGGUAAAUUCCAUCUAAAGCUAAAUAUUGGCGAGAGACCGAUAGCGAACAAGUACAGUGAUGGAAAGAUGAAAAGAACUUUGAAAAGAGAGUGAAAAAGUACGUGAAAUUGUUGAAAGGGAAGGGCAUUUGAUCAGACAUGGUGUUUUGUGCCCUCUGCUCCUUGUGGGUAGGGGAAUCUCGCAUUUCACUGGGCCAGCAUCAGUUUUGGUGGCAGGAUAAAUCCAUAGGAAUGUAGCUUGCCUCGGUAAGUAUUAUAGCCUGUGGGAAUACUGCCAGCUGGGACUGAGGACUGCGACGUAAGUCAAGGAUGC
rnacentral:rRNA from 1 species